CUGUCAUCUUUCAUCUGUUGGCGCCUGCAGCUCCUAACUGCCUUCUGUAAUCCAGAACACUUCUUGAGGCAUGAAGGUUAGCCUAUUAGGGAACUUCCCCUAGUUUGAGCUUUCACCACACCCUCCUCUGGAUCCUGCCUCGGGCAACUGAACAAAUGGGAAGGUGGUGACCCGGUCUUCAGUAGCCUCAGGUUGAGCACAUCACCCUUUCGAACGGGUCCUUUGACAUUUCAGAUGAAAGAACGGCUGGUGUCAUUCAUAGAUUCCACUCCCACCUGCGCGCACUGUCCUUGCGAACCGGUCCUGCCCAGCACUUUGGUUACCCUAGCCAGCUUGAUGGUCUGCACACGCACAACUCGUGUCCAUGAUGGCGGCGAUCUGUUGGAGAGCCAAUCUUAGUAUUUCAGAGGCAGAGACAGACAAAUCUCUUGUGAGUUGGAGGCCAGCCUGGUCUAUGUAUUGAGUUCCAGGUCAGCCAGGGCUACAUAGUGAGACCUUGUAUCAAACAAACAAACAGAUGGGACUUUUGCAUUGUUUUGCUUUUUUGAGUCAAGGUCUCUGUGUAGCCCAAGCCGGGCUUUAAGAUGCCCUGUUGCUGCCCCAGCCUCUGGAGUGCUGAGAUGACAGGUGCAGACUGCCAUACCUGUCCAGUGCUGUGCCCAUAGGGUGGCAUGGCACUUUUGGCAUGUGGGUUACUCAGUUAUGUUAAUCAGGACACAGAAACAGUAUGUCCGUAA
rnacentral:lncRNA from 1 species